GAGUUUGAUUAUGGCUCAGAACGAACGCUGGCGGCGCGUCUUAAACAUGCAAGUCGAACGGCAGGAAGGGGCUUGCCCCUUCUGAGAGUGGCGGACUGGUGAGUAACACGUGGGUGACAUACCUUUUAGUUGGGGAUAGCUAUUAGAAAUAGUAGGUAAUACCGAAUGUGACCGUAUUCUUUAGAGGGGUACGAGGAAAGGAGCUAAGGCUUCGCUAAAAGAAUGGCUCGCGGCCCAUUAUGCUAGUUGGUGAGGUAAUGGCCCACCAAGGCGAUGAUGGGUAUCCGGCCUGAGAGGGUGAACGGACACAUUGGGACUGAGAUACGGCCCAGACUUCUACGGGAGGCAGCAGUUAAGAAUAUUCCGCAAUGGACGAAAGUCUGACGGAGCGACGCCGCGUGGAUGAAGAAUGCCGAAAGGUUGUAAAAUCCUUUUAAGCCUGAUGAAUAAGUACAAUAGGGAAUGAUUGUGCGG
rnacentral:rRNA from 1 species